rnacentral:rRNA from 1 species
GACGAACGCUGGCGGCGUGCCUAAUACAUGCAAGUUGAGCGCUGAAGGUUGGUACUUGUACCAACUGGAUGAGCAGCGAACGGGUGAGUAACGCGUGGGGAAUCUGCCUUUGGGCGGGGGACAACAUUUGGAAACGAAUGCUAAUACCGCAUAAAAACUUUAAACACAAGUUUUAAGUUUGAAAGAUGCAAUUGCAUCACUCAAAGAUGAUCCCGCGUUGUAUUAGCUAGUUGGUGAGGUAAAGGCUCACCAAGGCGAGGAUACAUAGCCGACCUGAGAGGAUGAUCGGCCACAUUGGGACUGUGACACGCCCCAUACGCCUACGGGAGGCAGCAGUAGGGAAUCGUCGGCAAUGGACGAAAGUCUGACCGAGCAACGCGGCGUGAGUGAAGAAGGUUUUCGGAUCGUAGAACUCUGUUGGUAGAGAAGAACGUUGGUGAGAGUGGAAAGCUCAUCAAGUGACGGUAACUACCCAGAAAGGGACGGCUAACUACGUG